rnacentral:tRNA from 1 species
AAGAAAUUAGGUUCAAACCUCU